rnacentral:rRNA from 1 species
UACGUAGGGAGCAAGCGUUGUCCGGAAUCAUUGGGCGUAAAGAGCGUGUAGGCGGUCCUGUAAGUCCGCUGUGAAAGUCAAGGGCUCAACCCUUAAAUGCCGGUGGAUACUGCAGGACUAGAGUCCGGAAGAGGCGAGUGGAAUUCCUGGUGUAGCGGUGAAAUGCGCAGAUAUCAGGAGGAACACCGAUGGCGAAGGCAGCUCGCUGGGACGGUACUGACGCUGAGACGCGAAAGCGUGGGGAGCAAACAGG